GUGAACGCUGGCGGUAGGCCUAACACAUGCAAGUCGAACGGCAGCACAGUAGGAGCUUGCUCUUACGGGUGGCGAGUGGCGGACGGGUGAGGAAUACAUCGGAAUCUACUUUUUCGUGGGGGAUAACGUAGGGAAACUUACGCUAAUACCGCAUACGACCUACGGGUGAAAGCAGGGGAUCUUCGGACCUUGCGCGAUUGAAUGAGCCGAUGUCGGAUUAGCUAGUUGGCGGGGUAAAGGCCCACCAAGGCGACGAUCCGUAGCUGGUCUGAGAGGAUGAUCAGCCACACUGGAACUGAGACACGGUCCAGACUCCUACGGGAGGCAGCAGUGGGGAAUAUUGGACAAUGGGCGCAAGCCUGAUCCAGCCAUACCGCGUGGGUGAAGAAGGCCUUCGGGUUGUAAAGCCCUUUUGUUGAGAAAGAAAAGCAGCAGGUUAAUACCCCGCUGUUCUGACGGUACCCAAAGAAUAAGCACCGGCUAACUUCGUG
rnacentral:rRNA from 1 species